UCAUUGAACUGUCAUUAAAAUUUUAUCGCAACAAAAACCGACCGUAAUUUUUUAUGUAUGUGCGAUGAUGCUGGAAGACAACAAAAUUCAAGUCGGCGGUAGGAAACAUGACAAUUGCAGUGUGAGAAACCGUGACGAAAGGCCCAAGAGGAACUGUAACCGGUCGUGGAAUGCAUAUUGGUCUUGUGAUAAUGAGGCGGCCAAUUGACAACGAAAUGAUGGAAAACCGUUGCGGUUGUGGAGUGAAGCCACGGGCAAUGCUGAGCAUAUACGAACAACAUUAAUAUUAUUUUUAGAAUAUUCCGCUAGAAAUAGACGCUCACGAGGCACCAAACCAACGGCGCAAGAACCAAAGUCUGUGCAGCCAGUUUUUUUAUAAAAAUAUGUACCACAUCAUGCCAAACAUUUGUGAUAUUUGUGGUGUGGAGAAAACAAGACAAUGAGAGAGAUUAGCUGCCAUAGAUAUAAUAAAAUAAUUAGUUUCGACAACGAGGUCAAGCGAUGAGACUAUAGCAAUAAUACACAUAUCGAUUUUAUUUUAUUCGAAAAAAUGUUUCCAAGGGUCAAAUGUAGAUGAGAUGCAGCAGUAUUCAUGGAUUUGAUCGGAAAAUCCAAUUCGUUACCUGAUAAAUGGUCGAAAAUAUUGGACUACUUCAAGCACCUUAGCUGAAAGAAAACUUACUGAUGGUCAUCGCUCCUAAAAUAUUUCGGAGUCGGAUUAAUGUGUAGACUGAAAAUGAAUGUCUAUUUUAUUGAAAAUCAGAUAUUUUGCCAAAAUGAAAAUUUAUUAUGGUUUUUUUGCUUGCAACAAGAUCGAAAACAUUCUUGAUUAUUAUUUAAUGUCACAGUCUUCACGGGAAUUCUUUAAAAAACGAACAAGUCGUACCCUUAAAUUUAAAAAAAUAUGUUUGCACCAUAAAUCAAUGCCAAUUAGGAGUAGAGUAUUUUUCAAUAGUCUCGUAAUAAAAAUAUAUAAGCUAUAAUUGAAGCUAUAAUUGAAUUCAUGCAAAAUGUUAAAAUAGUCUGUCUACUAUUGUCUGUCUGUCUGUUUAUAUUUGCUCGACACGAAAAUUGUAGCGAUUCGAUGUUUAAACUUCAUUCGAGAAUUCAUUGAAUGUAUUGCUUACUUCGGGUGUUGGUUUAGACAUGGACCUGUAGAGAGAAUAUUGUACUAUCCAAAAGUAUAUUGGUAGCACUGCAAAAGGAAAGUUGGACAUAAAAUCGCGUUUACUCUUUUUUGUACAUUUGGUUAUACCUGAAAUUAUUAAUCCAAUUAACACUUCAUAAUCUUUCAUGGGUUUACCACCGAUGGCACUAAAAGCACCAAUUACCACAAAAACCCAUGGUACAAAUAACACGAGUAUUAGAUAGAGGAAUAGAUUCGGUAGCAUAAAAUUUCGAUUGUCCUGAUUUGUUUGGAAGAGAAAAAUUAUUUUUUUUUUCAAAAUUUAUCUGUUUAAUUAAUUGUUUUAAAAUCACUCAAGGGAAUUUUUUUAGACUAUGGAACUUACGAUCAAUAUGCCGUAAAUCCAUGCCAAAGAAUUUGCUACAAAAACCACUAAAAUAUAAAAUACAACGGAAUUUUUGACAUCAGAAAUUGAUAAGAAAUAUUAAAGUAAAUGCUCCAUCAAUUUAGCAAUAAUUUUUCAUUCGCUAAAAAUAUUCACGUUGGAAUCCUUACGCAUUACACAUGUAGUAACUAAUUUCGCACCGACGACAAUAAAAAACAUUUCAAUGCCAAUGUUCAUCACACCCAGAAUGAGACCAGCAUUUCUCAAACUAAUAAAAUAAAAACAAUGGGUCACAAUACACAUGUUGACUCCGAUUAAUUUCGAAUAAGUCCGUUGAUGAAUUGGUUGUAUUAAAACUCAAAAUGAAUAAAAAAAUUAUAUUUCUUGGGGAAAAAUA